rnacentral:ncRNA from 1 species
UAUAUGGAGAGUUUGAUCCUGGCUCAGGACGAACGCUGGCGGCGUGCCUAAUACAUGCAAGUCGAGCGGAGGGAGUAGAAAGAGUGAUUGCAAAUCACUUAGAGACG